GUAGUCUGCAACUCGACUACAUGAAGCUGGAAUCGCUAGUAAUCGCGAAUCAGAAUGUCGCGGUGAAUACGUUCCCGGGUCUUGUACACACCGCCCGUCACACCAUGGGAGUCGGAUAUGCCCGAAGUCAGUGACCCAACCUUUUGGAGGGAGCUGCCGAAGGUGGAGCCGAUAACUGGGGUGAAGUCGUAACAAGGUAAC
rnacentral:rRNA from 1 species